CUAUUCAUGUUACUACCCAAUCAACUAGGCCAACUUGCCUAAGAUCUCAAAUCUGGUAGGUGAAGAGCUACCCCGCUCUUUUCCCACCUAACUCAUAUCUCAAGGGUCCUAGACAAAGAGCUACCCCACUCCUUGCCCGACUCAUAUCUCGAAGGUCCGACCCAAUCUCGAAAGUCCUAGGCAAAGAGCUACCCCGCUCCUCACCCGACUCACAUCUCGACUAGGUACAAGGCUACCUCGCUCAAACCUCAUAGGUGAAGGCUAACUACCACACUACUAUACGUUCCAUAGUUUACACAACCACUCAGCCAGCCUGGAGGCUCGCUCUCAAUCUCACGUCUCAAUCCCACGACUAUCCUAUAGGUGUCACAUCUACUCUCAGUCACACUGGUGAGGAUCCGCUCACUCACCCAAGACCAUCUAUGGGACCCAAAAAGGCUAUUCCUCAACCUAUCUCAAUGGGGAGGAUCCGCUCACUCGCCCAACUCUGGACAUAGGUGCCACGACUCAAUCUCAAUCUAGUGGGUGAGGAACCGCUCACUCAAGGUGAGAACUACUCACUCAACCAACACUCAAUCUCAUGGGUGAGGAACCGCUCACACAAGGUGAGAAUUACUCACUCAACCAAUACCGUCUGCGGGGCCCAAAAAGGCUAACCCCUCGGGACCCAAAAAGGCUAUCCCUAUCGUGUGACAACUCCGGAGUGCACUGCUUAUGUGGAGCGACCACACCAAGCUUCGAACAGACAUAUGAGUACGAUCAAAUCCCCGUCACUGAGGAUACCCUACCAUCUAGGGUUAACAACAUAACUCUUUAGGCUUUCUACCCGAAUCACAACUAGGGAAAUUCACCCAUGCAAUAUAUCAUAACUAGGGAAACUCAACUAAUCCCUAUACUCAAUAUCAUAAGUGUCAACUACACUAGAUUCUCAUGCAAUAUGCUAUUUCAUGCAAUAUGCCACAAACUAGGGAAAUGCACCGAUUCCCUAUGUUCAAUGCUAUAAGUGUCAACUACACUAGAUUCUCAUGCAAUAUCAUAACUAGGUUCCAAUGCCACUCGUUAUUGUUAUGAUGAUCAUUAUUUACAUGCCACUCGUCCAAGUUAUAAGUGUUUCUUUCACACUAAGUCCAAUGCCACUAGUAAACUAUGUUUUUAGAUACAACACUAGGUUCCUCUUUCAUUUAGCAUCAUAGGUUUACCAAUGUCAUUUCCCAAUCCUUAUGUCCAUUACAUCAAGUAUCCAUAUCAUAAUACUAUAUUAAUCAUAGACAUCAUACAAGGAGUAGGAAUGCAUGUAUCAUCACCCUAUAAUGCAUAACAACAUACAAUAUGCAAAAUCGGUAAAGCACUAAGACAUAGGAAGAAGCUCAGUUGCUUCGGGAUGGACACCCCCCACCUUUUAUCGCGUUCCGAUUGCUCGUCAUCACACGCAAUCGGCCUCCCGCGGCGCAUGCCGCUCGGCUAGACCUAAU
rnacentral:lncRNA from 1 species